UACAGAGGGUGCAAGCGUUGCUCGGAAUUAUUGGGCGUAAAGGGCAGGUAGGUGGUCUCAUUUGUCUGGGGUGAAAUCCUUGAGCUUAACUCAAGAAGUGCCCUGGAAACGGUGAGACUGGAGUGCUGGAGAGGGUCGCGGAAUUCCCGGUGUAGCGGUGAAAUGCGUAGAUAUCGUUUGGAACGCCAGUGGUGAAAACGGGUCGCUGGGGACAUGCUGACGCUGAGACACGAAAGCCAGGGGAGCAAACAGG
rnacentral:rRNA from 1 species